rnacentral:rRNA from 1 species
UGGUGGAGUGAUUUGUCUGCUUAAUUGCGUUAACGAACGAGACCUUAACCUGCUAAAUAGUUAUGCCAACCUGGGUUGGUAGCCAACUUCUUAGAGGGACUGUCGGCAUCAAGCCGACGGAAGUUUGAGGCAAUAACA